ACUUCCGGACAGCUGUCGAAAAAUGUCACUUUGUUUUGCUUUGGUUAUGCUCAGAUGACAGCGUUAAAAUGAACCUACAGCAUAUAUAGAUUCCCUACUUAUGCAAAGAGAGGAAUAAGUGGAUUUAUAGAUGCAGAUGCUGUUAUAUACAUCAUUACCGUCAGAAGUAUCAAUGUGUUGGUGGCUGUUAUGAAGAGAAUGGGCCCAUUUUAACAACUUCUAGGAUGGGCGGUACAAGGGUUCAUACCAGUGACCAAUGAAGCACAGCUGUUACAAGACCAGGAAGAGUCAAAUUCAUGUGGAGUGUGCAAUUGAAUUUAAUUAAAAACAUCCAUAUUCUAAAUCAUAUACCUUCACAAUACAGACAUAUAUAUCUGUCCACUAAGAUUUUCAACUCUGUGUGACUCUUGUACAUUUGCAAAUCCUCUAAUGAAGGAAAUAGCUGAUAUGAAUUUCACAAUUAAUUAAAUCUUACCUUUGGACUUAGAUACUAUAAAUGUACAACUUCUUACUCACAUUAUUCUGGAUUGUCAAGUUGUAUUAAAUGCAUUCAAGUAAAUGAUAAAGUGAACAUUUAUUUAAGGUUGCUAGUCAAAGAAAUUGUUACAAUGGUGAUUCAUGCACAUCUUCACACUGAUCAUUUGUAGCAAAAACAAAAUAAAACUAAUGGAAGACAUUUGAA